ACGAACGCUGGCGGCGUGCUUAACACAUGCAAGUCGAACGGAAAGGCCCUGCUUUUGUGGGGUGCUCGAGUGGCGAACGGGUGAGUAACACGUGAGUAACCUGCCCUUGACUUUGGGAUAACUUCAGGAAACUGGGGCUAAUACCGGAUAGGAGCUCCUGCUGCAUGGUGGGGGUUGGAAAGUUUCGGCGGCUGGGGAUGGGCUCGCGGCUUAUCAGCUUGUUGGUGGGGUAGUGGCUUACCAAGGCUUUGACGGGUAGCCGGCCUGAGAGGGUGACCGGCCACAUUGGGACUGAGAUACGGCCCAGACUCCUACGGGAGGCAGCAGUGGGGAAUAUUGCACAAUGGGCGGAAGCCUGAUGCAGCAACGCCGCGUGCGGGAUGACGGCCUUCGGGUUGUAAACCGCUUUCGCCUGUGACGAAGCGUGAGUGACGGUAAUGGGUAAAGAAGCACCGGCUAACUACGUG
rnacentral:rRNA from 1 species